GGUAAUAUUUUACCUCAUAACAUAAGCCUUUGAUUGCAUCAAGAGUUUAAUUUGUAUGCACUAUAUGUAUAAAAAACGUGACAAUAAAUUAUAGGAUGACGGUGUAAAAUAGGUGGCAAUAUAUUAUUGCAUAAAUAAUUGUAUAUUAACUUAACCCUAAAAUUGUUUGUUUAUCAAUCAUCAUAUUAGUAUAUGCUUAAAAUUGGAUGUUUUAAUGCAGGGUUUUGUCAUAUCAGAUUGGGAGGGAAUCGACAGGAUAACUUCACCUCCUCAUGCUAACUACACAUUUUCAAUUGAAGCCGGAGUGAAUGCCGGUAUUGACAUGGUAAACUAUGUUUUUUACUAGUCUUUUGAAUAGCUGUAUAUUUUUUAUUAUUAUUAGGAAUUGAACUCGGAAUUUUAAGGUUUACAAUACUUGCACAUUCUGUGAACCAACCACUUGCACCGAAUCCCGGUGGUGUUGAUUAGUCUUAUUCAUAAAAAAUAUAAUCUUUAAUAUUUACCCUUGUAAUGAUGCAGAUAAUGAUUCCCCAUAACUACACUGAAUUCAUUGAUGGCCUAACCUUACUAGUGAAAAAGAAUGUCAUACCUAUGAGUAGAAUUGAUGAUGCAGUGAAGAGAAUUUUGAGAGUCAAGUUUGUUAUGGGCCUAUUUGAAAAUCCAUUGGCUGAUUACAGCCUUGCCGAUCAGCUCGGGAGCCAGGUUAGUCGAUCAGCUCAGAGCUUACACUGUCAAUCAAUAGUAAUCGUAAGAUCGUUUAAAAUGUUUGGUGUUGACAGGAGCAUAGGGAAUUGGCUAGGGAAGCGGUGAGGAAAUCAUUGGUACUAUUAAAGAAUGGUGAAAAUGUUGAUAAGCCGAUACUUCCUCUUCCUAAAAAGGCUUCCAAAAUACUUGUUGCUGGAAGUCAUGCUGAUAAUCUAGGAUAUCAAUGUGGUGGAUGGACCAUUCAAUGGCAAGGACAAAGUGGCAACAACAUCACCACUGGUAUACAAAACAGCUAUUUUCCGCGAUUUACAAUUGACAGUACUGAUAUUCAUAACAUACAAUGUUAACAUUGCUUAACUAAUAUACAGGUACUCCAAUUCUGAGUGCUAUAAAAAACGCAGUCGACAAAGAAACCAAGGUAUUCUACGAGGAGAAUCCUUCAUUAGACUAUGUAAAAUCCAAUGAUUUUUCAUAUGCAAUUGUGAUAGUUGGAGAGACACCAUAUGCUGAAACAAAUGGUGACAGCUUAAACUUAACAAUCUCUGGACAUGGAUAUGAAACGAUAGACAAUGUAUGCAGCGGAGUGAAAUGUGUCGUUGUGUUAAUCACCGGUAGACCUAUUGUUAUACAACCAUAUCUUGAGAAAAUUGAAGGACUUGUGGAUGAUUGGCUUCCUGGUAGUGAAGGUUCUGGUGUUGCCGAUGUUUUGUUUGGUGAUUAUGGAUUUACCGGUAAACUUCCAAGGACAUGGUUUAAGACUGUUGAUCAGUUACCAAUGAAUGUUGGUGAUUCUCAUUAUGAUCCUUUGUUUCCAUUUGGAUUUGGUCUUACAACUGAAGCUCAUAAGGCUACUUCAGAAUAUUAGAUUUUGUUAAAUCAUUUAGCAUUUUUUGUGUUCUUAGGCUAUUUAUUACUAUUGUAUUUUUUUCUACAUUAGAUGUUAGUACCAAAUUGGUAUUUUCAUAUACUAUGUUUGAAAAAAAAAAUCAGCUUUAAUUGUUAAACUUAUUGAGUUCCAAUUAAAUUUAUAUGUUUUUUGUUUAGACAAAUGUAAGUGGUUAGAAAAUUGUUAACGGCGGAGAUCGAACUCUAACCUCCUUAUGAAUACUUUUUCGAUGUUCUCACUUAUAUUACUGAGCUACACCUUCAAGAUCAAAUCUAUCCGAUGUUAACCUUCUUGAACUUACAUUUUAUGAAUUUCGGAAAGAGACUUUGAAAGUCUAUAUUUGUUUUUAAAAAAAAAAUAAUGCCAAAAGAUAAUGUAGUUUUUGUUUUAAGAAAUAAAUCUUAGGAGGCAAGUAUGAGUUAUGAUGCUUAGAUUGUGAUCUUACCGGAUUUAGUAAGACCACAAAAAAUACAACUAACCGUUGGAGGAGAGAUGUUGAUAUGAGACAAAAAAUAGAAUCUCUCAAGUGUAGGGAUUCUAAUUACUUAAACUAUCAUUAGGGCCUGGUAAGGCUACAAUUAGUUGAGUGGUUCACAAAUUUCAAAAUAUUGCUAUAGAGAAUGAAAUCAAAAUGGAUGAAACAUGAAAUUGAGCUCUAAUGUACCAUUUAUCACCGAAUCAAAAUGGAUGAAACAAUUAUGUAAUAAUCACUACUACAAUUGAAAAUAUAUUUUAAAACUAUCCAUACGUGAUUUGAUCAUUAAAUUUGAACAAUCAUAAACAAAACAAAAAUUAAAAGUAACGUUGUUAAUUAUUUAUUUAAUUGAGAUCAGAAUGGAUCAUAAUCACAUGUUCCAUCGUUGACUAUUUUUUUUUGUUUGUCUAUUUAUAUGUCACACUCUUACAACUACUUUACAAAUAUUCACAUUCUUCCACUUUCAUACUUUGCCUUUUUAUUAUUCUAUGAAAAGUACACAUUUUGUCUCUCCUUUUUUCUGUAACAUUGUAGUGCCACAUAAAAAGUUUGUUUGCCAUAAACUCAAACUUGUAAAUUGGUAGGCAAUUUUUUUUUUUUUUGUUACAUUUUAUUCUUGUAAAUUCUAUUUCUGUUGUUGAUUGUUGAUAUGAAUUAGCAGUGGUCGGCUUCAUGGUAUUACGGGCCGUUAGAUUAAUAAACUUUUCAUCUAACGUCCUCCAUCCAUCCAACUUUAUUGGAAAGUCGGAUAUAUGAUCAAGCCGAUUGCUGAGGAUCGAAGUUUUUGUUUAUUGGUUGAUUGCAAAUAAAUUUCAUGACCAAACUAGAAAUGGGUCUAGAACUAUUUUAUGAAUGGUUUUGUUUUCCAUGAUGUUUUUUAAUUACCAAACAUUGGUUUAGUUGCUUAUUUUCAUUAUUUGUUAUUGGACAUGUUUAUGUCUUGUCCCUUCUUCUCUAGAACUUUUUUCAUUUGGAUUUUGGCAUGUGUCUUUUCUAGAACAUUGUUUUGUUUUCUCUAGAACAUGUUUAUGAAUAAUUUGAAGUUGUUUGUGAUCUUAUUCUGUAGUUGUUUUGAGAGGGAGAAAUGGUCAAAGGUGCAAUCUCUUUGGUGGCCGGGCUAGUGCUCUUCCAUUGUUGGGUAGCAAUGGCAGAAGCGGAGCAUUUGAGAUACAAAGAUUCAAAGCAGCCGUUGAAUACUCGAAUCAAGGAUCUUAUUGACAGGAUGACUUUGGAAGAGAAAAUUGGUCAGAUGGUUCAGAUUGAACGCGGUGUUGCUUCUGCCGAAGUAAUGAACAAGUACUUCAUUGGUAAGAUUUAUUUGCUAAAUUUUUUUUAUCUUUUAAACUAGAUUUUCAAAAAAAUUUGUUAUUGUUCAUUUGAGCUGCAAAAUGAACAUAAGGAAAUUCACUAAGUUUUUUCUUUUUAUCUCCAUGCCUGCAAUGAAAUUUUAAUUGAGGUUGCAUAUGGAUUCGUUGUAGUAACAGUAUCACGUAGUUUCAUGUUGUAAUCCAUCUCGACCAUUGAUUUGAGGUCGGACUGUUUAGAUUACACAUUCAUUACAUCAAUAUUAAACGAUUCCGACAACCGAUUUAGGUCAGAUGGCUAAGUCACUGCUUGAUUUAAGAUGCCAAAUAAUUUGAAUUAGGAUUUUCUUAACUUUUUAUCUUUAAAUUUUUUAUAGGGAGUGUUCUAAGUGGUGGAGGAAGUGUUCCUAAACCAAAGGCUACUGCAAAGGAUUGGGUUGACAUGAUCAAUGAAUUUCAAAAGGGUGCUUUAUCAACUAGGCUUGGAAUUCCAAUGAUAUAUGGAAUUGAUGCUGUUCAUGGAAAUAAUAAUGUCUAUAACGCAACUAUUUUUCCUCACAAUGUUGGUUUAGGAGCUACAAGGUAUGCCUAUAUUUUUUGUGUGAAAAUUUAAGUUCUUCAAAUCCUUUUUUUGGAAGAAAAUAGUUUCUCAAUUCUUGGUUAUUAUUGAUUUCUUUUAUUCAAAUUCAAAAGUCUUCUCUUGUCUGUUGAAAUACUAUGAUUUUAUUAUUGUCUACUAGUUAUAAAAAAUGGAAUAUGUGCAACUAUAAAUUUGUCAAAACGUGCUUUCAUGUUGUCUAGGGAAGGUACACAAUCCAAAUAAAAUAUUACAACUGGUUGAGACCUAUAAUAUAAUGCAAGAUCAUACCUAUAAUAAUUUUAGUGAUGUUAUCAAAUAUAUUUAAUUUAUUAAAGUGUUCAUAUUUUAAUGGUGUAAUAUUUCCUUUGGUUGACUUUUACUCUAUAUUCUUUUUCCUAUGAUAUUAGACUUUAUUGUAAACAAGCAAGCUAUAAUUUUUAAUUUUAAUAUGAAUGUGCGAGGUGUUGUCAUUAUAGUUUUUGAAUGUAUUGAAAUUAUAUGGAUCAAAUCGGCUAAAAAAGACACAUUCGAGAAUCAAACUAACUAACGAAAGACAAAUUUGAGGAUCAAAUAGACUAAUGACACACUACACCAUUUGUUGUCUCUAGCAACACUUUUUAAGCAACAUGUAAAAAUUGUUGCUAAAAGUCUCUAAUUACACAAAGAAAAUGCCUUUUUUUUCACUAUGACUCUUUGUAUUGAUGAUGUAUUUUUUAUAUCCCAAAUUGCAGGGACCCUCAACUGGUGAAGAAGAUUGGUGAAGCAACCGCUCUUGAAUCCAGAGCAACUGGAAUUCCAUAUGUCUUUGCACCUAGCAUCGCGGUAAUUUAGAUAAUCAAAAUUAUACCUUAGCUCUUUGUCGAUCGUAGAAAAUAACAAUUUGUUCAAAUUUCGCUACGCUACAAUGCUAUAGCGCUAGUAUUGGACAACAAAUUGUAUUAAAUAGUGUGUUGCACAACAAUAGCGAUUUGUUCAAAUUUUGCUAUACGCAGUAGCGAUGUUGCGCCGCUUUUGCAAAUAUUUGACAAUAUUGUUCAACCUAAUGACAUAUGUGUUUGAAUUUAUAGGUGUGUAGAGAUCCAAGAUGGGGUAGAUGUUAUGAAAGUUAUAGUGAAGAUCAUAAAAUUGUCCAAGCUAUGACUGAGUUAAUUCCAGGAUUACAAGGUGACCUCCCUGCAAAUUGGUCAAAUGGUGUUCCAUAUGUUGUUGGAAAGUAAGAGAUCAUGAUGCUGCUGCAUCUUUAUAUAUGCGUGUUUCCUAUAUAACAGUUUGGUUUCCUUCCUAAACCGAAACACGAAUAGUCCUGCAUUUAAUUGUUAAUUUUGAAUUUUUUUUUCGUAUACAAUCAUUUGUCUAUGUUACACUAUUAUGUUUAUCUUGCCUUCAUCAAUUACUUUUAUUGACUUUCAGAACUUACUUUGAUUAUAAAUUCAACUUUGCAUCCUUCUUACAAAAUCAUUCUAUUCAUACUUGAACUUAAAACUGAUUUUCUUGUCAUUUCCUUGUACAGCAAGAAAGUUGCAGCUUGUGCUAAGCACUUUGUUGGUGAUGGUGGAACAACAGAAGGAAUCAAUGAGGAUAACACAGUUGCAACCAGACAUGAAUUGUUUAGCAUUCACAUGCAAGCUUACUAUAACUCGAUCACUAAGGUUGUCUUAACCAUCAUGGUCUCAUACUCAAGCUGGAAUGGAGAAAAGAUGCAUUCUAAUCGCGAUUUAGUCACCGGCUUUCUCAAGAACACGCUCCAUUUCAGGGUAAUACUUUACCUCAUAGGCCUUGGAUUUCAUAGUUUCGAAAGAUUAUAUCAAGAAUUUAUUUUUUAUGAAUUAUCUGUGUAAAAGACGUAACAAUAAAUUAUACUAUGACUGUGUAAAAUAGGUGACUAUAUAUUAUAGCAUAAAUAAUUGUAUAUUAACUUAAGCCUGAAAUUGUUUAUUUAUCGAUCAUCAUAUUAGUAUAUGCUUAAAAUUCUAUGUUUUUAUGCAGGGUUUUGUCAUAUCAGAUUGGAAGGGAAUUGACAGGAUAACUUCACCUCCUCAUGCUAACUACACAUUUUCAAUUGAAGCCGGAGUGAAUGCCGGUAUUGACAUGGUAAACUAUGAAUUUUACUAAUCUUUUGAAUAGCCUUAUAUAUUUUAGGGUUUACAAUACUUGCACACUCUGGGAACCAACCAAUUUCUCUAAAUCCUGGUG
rnacentral:lncRNA from 1 species